rnacentral:rRNA from 1 species
ACUAAGCGUACACGGUGGAUGCCCUGGCAGUCAGAGGCGAUGAAGGACGUGCUAAUCUGCGAUAAGCGUCGGUAAGGUGAUAUGAACCGUUAUAACCGGCGAUUUCCGAAUGGGGAAACCCAGUGUGAUUCGUCACACUAUCAUUAACUGAAUCCAUAGGUUAAUGAGGCGAACCGGGGGAACUGAAACAUCUAAGUACCCCGAGGAAAAGAAAUCAACCGAGAUUCCCCCAGUAGCGGCGAGCGAACGGGGAGCAGCCCAGAGCCUGAAUCAGUGUGUGUGUUAGUGGAAGCGUCUGGAAAGGCGUGCGAUACAGGGUGACAGCCCCGUACACAAAAAUGCACAUACUGUGAGCUCGAUGAGUAGGGCGGGACACGUGGUAUCCUGUCUGAAUAUGGGGGGACCAUCCUCCAAGGCUAAAUACUCCUGACUGACCGAUAGUGAACCAGUACCGUGAGGGAAAGGCGAAAAGAACCCCGGCGAGGGGAGUGAAAAAGAACCUGAAACCGUGUACGUACAAGCAGUGGGAGCACGCUUAGGCGUGUGACUGCGUACCUUUUGUAUAAUGGGUCAGCGACUUAUAUUCUGUAGCAAGGUUAACCGAAUAGGGGAGCCGAAGGGAAACCGAGUCUUAACUGGGCGUUAAGUUGCAGGGUAUAGACCCGAAACCCGGUGAUCUAGCCAUGGGCAGGUUGAAGGUUGGGUAACACUAACUGGAGGACCGAACCGACUAAUGUUGAAAAAUUAGCGGAUGACUUGUGGCUGGGGGUGAAAGGCCAAUCAAACCGGGAGAUAGCUGGUUCUCCCCGAAAGCUAUUUAGGUAGCGCCUCGUGAAUUCAUCUCCGGGGGUAGAGCACUGUUUCGGCAAGGGGGUCAUCCCGACUUACCAACCCGAUGCAAACUGCGAAUACCGGAGAAUGUUAUCACGGGAGACACACGGCGGGUGCUAACGUCCGUCGUGAAGAGGGAAACAACCCAGACCGCCAGCUAAGGUCCCAAAGUCAUGGUUAAGUGGGAAACGAUGUGGGAAGGCCCAGACAGCCAGGAUGUUGGCUUAGAAGCAGCCAUCAUUUAAAGAAAGCGUAAUAGCUCACUGGUCGAGUCGGCCUGCGCGGAAGAUGUAACGGGGCUAAACCAUGCACCGAAGCUGCGGCAGCGACGCUUAUGCGUUGUUGGGUAGGGGAGCGUUCUGUAAGCCUGUGAAGGUGUGCUGUGAGGUAUGCUGGAGGUAUCAGAAGUGCGAAUGCUGACAUAAGUAACGAUAAAGCGGGUGAAAAGCCCGCUCGCCGGAAGACCAAGGGUUCCUGUCCAACGUUAAUCGGGGCAGGGUGAGUCGACCCCUAAGGCGAGGCCGAAAGGCGUAGUCGAUGGGAAACAGGUUAAUAUUCCUGUACUUGGUGUUACUGCGAAGGGGGGACGGAGAAGGCUAUGUUGGCCGGGCGACGGUUGUCCCGGUUUAAGCGUGUAGGCUGGUUUUCCAGGCAAAUCCGGAAAAUCAAGGCCGAGGCGUGAUGACGAGGCACUACGGUGCUGAAGCAACAAAUGCCCUGCUUCCAGGAAAAGCCUCUAAGCAUCAGGUAACAUCAAAUCGUACCCCAAACCGACACAGGUGGUCAGGUAGAGAAUACCAAGGCGCUUGAGAGAACUCGGGUGAAGGAACUAGGCAAAAUGGUGCCGUAACUUCGGGAGAAGGCACGCUGAUACGUAGGUGAAGCGACUUGCUCGUGGAGCUGAAAUCAGUCGAAGAUACCAGCUGGCUGCAACUGUUUAUUAAAAACACAGCACUGUGCAAACACGAAAGUGGACGUAUACGGUGUGACGCCUGCCCGGUGCCGGAAGGUUAAUUGAUGGGGUUAGCGCAAGCGAAGCUCUUGAUCGAAGCCCCGGUAAACGGCGGCCGUAACUAUAACGGUCCUAAGGUAGCGAAAUUCCUUGUCGGGUAAGUUCCGACCUGCACGAAUGGCGUAAUGAUGGCCAGGCUGUCUCCACCCGAGACUCAGUGAAAUUGAACUCGCUGUGAAGAUGCAGUGUACCCGCGGCAAGACGGAAAGACCCCGUGAACCUUUACUAUAGCUUGACACUGAACAUUGAGCCUUGAUGUGUAGGAUAGGUGGGAGGCUUUGAAGUGUGGACGCCAGUCUGCAUGGAGCCGACCUUGAAAUACCACCCUUUAAUGUUUGAUGUUCUAACGUGGACCCGUGAUCCGGGUUGCGGACAGUGUCUGGUGGGUAGUUUGACUGGGGCGGUCUCCUCCUAAAGAGUAACGGAGGAGCACGAAGGUUGGCUAAUCCUGGUCGGACAUCAGGAGGUUAGUGCAAUGGCAUAAGCCAGCUUGACUGCGAGCGUGACGGCGCGAGCAGGUGCGAAAGCAGGUCAUAGUGAUCCGGUGGUUCUGAAUGGAAGGGCCAUCGCUCAACGGAUAAAAGGUACUCCGGGGAUAACAGGCUGAUACCGCCCAAGAGUUCAUAUCGACGGCGGUGUUUGGCACCUCGAUGUCGGCUCAUCACAUCCUGGGGCUGAAGUAGGUCCCAAGGGUAUGGCUGUUCGCCAUUUAAAGUGGUACGCGAGCUGGGUUUAGAACGUCGUGAGACAGUUCGGUCCCUAUCUGCCGUGGGCGCUGGAGAACUGAGGGGGGCUGCUCCUAGUACGAGAGGACCGGAGUGGACGCAUCACUGGUGUUCGGGUUGUCAUGCCAAUGGCACUGCCCGGUAGCUAAAUGCGGAAGAGAUAAGUGCUGAAAGCAUCUAAGCACGAAACUUGCCCCGAGAUGAGUUCUCCCUG